CCCUGCGCUACUGGAGAAUCUCCCCAAGGGCUCAGCUGGGAAACACCUGUCCUUCAACAAGAGGAUUUACUGCAAACUUCAAGUCUGGCUUGUUAGAAAGUAGAAGACUGUCUACUUCCCAGAUGAGAAGGCCGAGGCACUGAAAGCUGGGAAGGGACACAGACUGGACUCAAAUGCUGUUUGUCUGACUCCAUUCAUUACGAGCUGAUUUCUCAACACCAAACUCGGUAGCUGUGGCCCUCGCUUUGCAGGAGUAUCUUGUAUGUGUCUAGUGACUCCCUUGGAAGGCAGUGUCCCUGAAGGCAGAGCGAAGAUGACGGAAGAUUUGGCUUCACCCUCCGGGAGCCCCCAAGCUGACGUUCUGGGUCUGGACAGGCCUCCAGCGUGCACACCAGUGUGGAAGGUCAGCCACGCUCCUGCAGGACAAACGACACAUGGGAGGGAGUGGGUGACCGCAAGGCAUUAGUUAAGGACGGCCUUUUAUGAAGGAAAAACCUUGAAGGUCUCUCUCUGAAGACCCCAAAGGUGAGCCUUGGCUGCACUAUUUAAGCUCCCAGAAUCUGGCUCGUUAAUCUGUAAAGGGAGAGAAAGCACUCUGGUUUCCAGCACCGUCCCUGUGAUUAUCUGUGCCUGAGUGUCUCUUUGUGUACAGGACUGUGUGCACAUGCCCGCAGGUGAGGCGUGUGACUGUGGGUAUGCUUGUGCCUGUGUCACCAGAUGGGGUCCUGUAAGAUUUCAUAGGGAGUGUGCUCCUGUUCCAUGCAGGAGGCAGGAUAAUCGCAUUCCAAAUCACUUUGCCCCGUGAUUCUCACAAACACGUCCCUGCCACAUGUCUCAAUUUGGGGUUCAGAACUUCUGAUAGAAAUCAGAGCCGGGACAUAGGGUCUACACUGGGAAGGGGGUUAUGGCUCCAGAGAAGAGGGGGAGCCUGGCUCAACUCUCUCAUCUUUCUCCAGGUUGGGUUUAUUCACUCCCUCCCAAGCUGGCGCCUGGCAUGGCACCCUGAGAAACCUGGCCCUGUCAGCUCCUUCCCUGGCCCAGGGCCCUCCCCCAAGUCAGAGCUCCUCCCACCCUCUCCCAAACCUGCUCAACCCGCCUGGCAGGCCAGCGUCUC